rnacentral:tRNA from 1 species
GGAAGCAUAGCUCAGCUGGUCAGAGUGCCUGCUUCACACGCAGGAGGUCCACGGUUCGAGCCCGUGUGUUUCCACCA